ACAAGAAAGCCGCCAGGUAAAGAGCCAGGGUAAAAGCCAUUCAGAGUGAGUGCUGUCCUCGUAUGACCUCUGGGGGCAGGCGGACGAAGGCUUGCUUUUUGCGGGAGAUAGGCCGGCAGGUUGAGGUGUGGGCCAGGUUGGCCGCUGACACACUCCACGGCCUGGGUGGCACGGGGACAGCUCCAUCUUAGAGACACCUACGUGAGCAGCCCUGCAGGCCCGGCCACCCGGCCGCCACACCGCUGCCCCCAAGCAGCCCAGCGCCUCUGCUUUGCACCAGCACUCACCUGGCGGGCAGUUCCCUCCCCGCCUCCUUCCCCAUCCGCAGCCCCGCCUAUCUUGGGAUCGCCUUCCAGGCCCCGAAGCCGUGCUCAGGGCCCUCGGGUUAGUCUGGGAAGUGCUAGUGAGCUGGGCGUGUUGACGGGGAUUUUGUUCAGAGAAGAGAGAAGAGGAUCGCGCUCCCCGGCCCGUUGCCACUCACAUGUGACUAUGUGACCCCGGGGCUGCAUUCCUCCCUCCUCCGCCUGUAAAAUGACGCCCGUGAGGCGGGACUCCUGCGCCAGAUAGGUUUUUGGCACGGCUCCUUUCUCGGGGUGAAUUACAGCAGCUGCAUUUCCGCCGCUGGGGACUUGGAGGGGUCCUUGGGUGAAUUUUCAGCGCCCCGAGAGAGUCCUGCCCCUCCCCUCGGCUCUGCUCCAGGCUGCUCGAGCCUGGCCUGCUGAGAGGGGUGCACUGAUGUGUGGUUGCUCUCCUUGCCUUUCCCCUACUGCGGAGUCCCCGCCAGGGAAGUAGACCCCCUCUGCCCGCGGCAGCAAGCUGUCCUUCCCCCAUCCCAGCAUCCUGGUGGGGAAGGACCAGCCAGGCACUCCUGGGGGGCGGGCCUUCCCUUGCCUGGGGCUGGGUCACUGGUGGGCCGCAGGCUGCAGGUUUCGGGGGAAGGGGGUGGCGUGGAGGUGAGAAAAUUAUCACCAAGAAAACCUUUUCUAUUUUCAGAGUGACUUAGAACUUUGGGAGGUGGGGAGUGGGCUUUGGAAAGGAAGACCCCACUGAGAAUGGGGGCCAGUGGGCCACCUGGAAGGUUAAAAAGACCCCCAGGCGCUAAAAUGCAGGCCCGCAGUAGGCCAGGAGUUGUCUUUUUUUGUCACUGCUGUGUCCCCAGUCCUUGCCUUGAGAAGGACACGUCAUGAACUCUGUGCCAUUCACUGAGGAAAAAUGCAUUUGUGUUCAGUUUCCCUUGUGAUUGACUUUGCUCUGUUACCUUUAACUGUUCUUUCACACCCAGGAAGUCCUUCCCCUGCUGCAGAUAUAAGAAAACAGAAACGGAUGGAGAAGGGCAUCCCUCCUCUGCAUCUCUGUCCACGAUGCCCUCGACACCAGUGCAGGUUACGGGCUCAGACACUGCAGACAUUUCACGUGCGGUAUUUUGUUAGUUCACAAAUUCCCUAGAAAUGCUUGGAGAUUUCUGCUCCCUAAUUCUCUGUCCUUCGGGGAUCUAUCCUUGAUGGGUUAAUGGUAAAUGCCUGUAGGUGGAGCCUGACCAGGGUGGAAGACUUUCGUUCAUUUAUUCCUUUGCCCUUUAAUUUCUGUGGCGAUAAGGGAAUAAACUGGCACGGGAUGAGUUCACGUUUCAGUGAUGGGCUGGGCGCCCUGAAGUGGUUUAAGGCAAUGGAAGAUAAUGCUUACAUCUCCAGACACCAGGAGCGAUAGCUUGACUGGAAACUGCAGAUUCAGAGCUUGCUGUAAUCUGACGGUGCCUCACGGCCCCAGUGCCUAAGCCUUGAUGUGUAACUCCUAGAAUGCCUGAGCGUGCUUGGUCCACUGGGACCUGACUCCCAGUGGAAACAUGGGUGGCUGGCUCCGGGGGAUUAGGAGUGCACAGAGCCUCCUGGCGCCAAGGGAACCAGGGAAUCACGUCCCUCACACUCUCCCACCCCAACCCCCCGACACGUGGAACCAGCCGUGAGCUUCCGGCCAGGUUACCCUCUGCCAGGAGCCACCGUUGGCCCCUGGGUCUGAAGAGAAGGUGGACUUAAAAUUGCCUUCCCUGGGGACCUGGGCCUCUGGAGAGGUCUACCCUAUAAUGGUGUUAGAGCAGCUCUUGUUGUGAGCCCCAGGCCACGGACAUGGCUUUGAUCUAAGCUCUGUCGCUUGGGAAGCAGAGGGGGCUGAAGGUCGGGGGGCCUGAGGUCCUCUCCAGGGCUCAAGCCCAGCUUCCUGUACACCCCGUUCUCACAGUGAAAAAAUGGGAGGGGAGGGAGCGCUUUGCACUUGGCUGUAGCCGAGGCGCCCUCGGCCUGUCCGCUCCUGUGCACACGGGCCCCUGGGAAGAACCUGCGGGAUGAGGGGGGCGCAGAUCCAGCCCCGCUGUGUGCGCAUCGUGUCACAGACCUGGCCUUGCUGGUUUGCACUCUGCCACUUCUGUCCCUGAAGUUCCUCUUGGUCCUCAGCUGGGAACACGGUUUAAGCAAGGAACCCAGCAUCUGUCCAGGCGUGGUCCACAAGGGGCAAACCCAAGGGCCGCGCUUGAAGAUUCUUUGGAGAAUCCAGGGGUCACAACCAGAAGAAACCCCCUGUGAGCUCCACCGAGCUGUGGGAGCUCCCUCUAGGCCGUGGGUCCUGGGCGUGGGGAGGGGCCGGGGGUCGGCACAGUGAUGGUGGAGAGGAGAGGAAGGGUCCGGAGACAGGGAUGGGAAGGGCGGAGGGGAGGGGGCGUGAGGAUAUGGGGGGACCAGCCCCAGCACGUGCUGGGGGGUUAGAGGUCAGGGAGAAAGCUGCCUGCUCUGAAGUUCACAAUAAACCCUGCGCCAGGUAGGGCAUAUUAUCAAAGAAGGAAAGAAAGCCCGGGGUAAUUUAUCACAGUAAGGUGAGAGCUUUGAUGCUGGGGUCAGAGCCGUCCUCAGAGCUGACCACGUCCAAGGAACCCUCCUGGUCCAGCUUUAGUUCAGUUUCCCUUUUACCUGAAGUGCUUUAAUUUGGAAGUUUUAAAAGCAGGGCAAGAAAAACUGAGCCUCCCUUUGCAGUGAAUUAUCCAGUCCUGUCUUUUAAACGUUGAGACGGUCGCGUCCUAUAGUAAAUUAAAGAUCAGACUCUCCCCGGUGUUUCUCGAAGGAAGGAGACUGUCCUUCCAUGAGGAGAAUUGCGGUGGGCGGGCCCUGACUCCCAGGCCCCUGGUUCUGCUCCUUCGCCCUGCUGUCACAGGGAUCUGGCGAGAGAGGGGCAGGUGGCAGACGGGACCUGCUGUGUCCUUGGAAGAAGACGACGGUGCCUGCAGGGCCCACUCAGCCCUCCCCACGGGCAGGGAAGGGUCUGUGCCACCCCUGCCUUGGCUGGCAGCCCCAGCUCUUAGACCACAGGCCAGGCUUGUGCACGGCGAGUGCGGGCAGGAGGGGCGAACUCCCCAUCACCCCGGAGAAGGUGUGGUCACUUUGGACCCCGAUGGGGACCUUGGAGAUAGAUGACCUUGGGUUUAUGUCUCUGCUCUUAUCAGGCAAGUCCCCAGACCUCACUUUUGUCUUUUUAACCUAGAACAAGAACUGCUGUCAGAGUUGAAACAAACAUCCUGAUCAGUGUUUAUCAACUUACGGCCCCUCUUGUUUCAUCUGUAUCUCCCCCACCCCGACUUCCCACCCUCCACUAGCUUUUUAUGGAGCAAAUCCAAGACAUCAUAUUUUUUCUUCCGUAAUUCCGUCAAUAUCUUUAAAAAAUAUGGGCUUCUUUUAAAAAAAAUAACAAUGUAACCCCAUCACCAUUGUCAAACAUUGAAAAAUUGCCAAUAUUUCCAUAAUGUUACCAAAUAUCAUCAUAAUUAAAUUUUCCCAGUGCUUUCAUUUUUAAUAAAUAGUUUAAUUAAUCCAGGGUUCAAAUAAGGUCCUCUUGCGUUAGAUUGAUAAGUCUUCUAAGUUUCUUGAAUCUAUAGAUCUUUUUUCCCUGGUUUUAAUUUAAUUGUUAAAUAAGCAGGUUGUCUGUCCCGUAGAAAUUUCCUAUAAUUUGGAUUUUGCUGAUGACGUCCUGUCGGUUAGCACCGUCUUCUGCCUGCUGUGUUUCCGGUGAAUUGACAGAUCUAGAGGCUUGACCAUGCUCACUUUUGAUGUUGUUUUCAAGAAUACUGAUGAUGUUGUGGGUUUCUGUCAGGAGGCUCAUUAUGACAGGGUGUUGCUCUUCUUGUGACUUAAGACUAAUCAGUGAAUUCAAACGUGAGCUUGACUCAUCCACUUCAAAGCUCCCCAUUAGCUUCUCACCUCCUGGUCUUUGCAGCCGUUGCUGACAAGUGCCCUGACAAGUGCCCGUCACCAUCAGGGGUGGCAAGAUGGCGACAUUCUCUCCUUUAUUUACAAGCUCUAAACGUAUUUGAAGAAAAACCAUUCCUCAUCAGCUCUUUGUCACUUGGAAAUACCGUCUGUGCAGAAAAGAAGGUUAAAUGCCUGAUUCCUUUUAUUUACUUCUUUUCAAAUAAUUUGAUAGUUCUUCUAGAAUCCGUCAAAAGACACACACACAUCUAUAUAAAUAUCAUAGUUAACAAAUAGGUCUUUCACAUAUAUGACUUGUUUAAAUCCAUUCAUAGCUUCCUAGACUUCUACUAUGACAAGAUAUUCCAGACUCAUUUUCUACUUCCUGCCUCAUACCUGGAGUUACCUGUUUAUCCAAAGUAUCCCUGGUUCUUUAUACAUAGAAAUAGUACUGAGGGACCAAAGUCUGAGAUCUAGACCUGUUCAUUGCUCCUGGGUUGGUCAUUGUUUCCAGGACUUUACAAUGGACAGUACUAGGGAAAAAAUUUUCUUAAACUAUAUGCUAUUUCCAAUUCCACUAUGGAAUUGCAAGGUUUUCACUUAGGGUUUUUAAAUUUUUGUGUCUAUAUCUAUUUUCUCUUAUGCUGAAUAUCACAACGACAUAGCUACUCAUUGGCUUUAUCAUUCCUGUGUGUGUCUCUCUACCUAUUCCUGUUUCAGAAUGUCACUUUCAAUUUUUAUUAUUAACAUUGUGAUCGCUGAAAACAAUGAGUUUUUUUAAAUUUUUUUAACAUCUUUAUUGGAGUAUAAUUGCUUUACAGUGGUGUGUUAGUUUCUGCUUUAUAACAAAGUGAAUCAGCUAAACAUAUACAUAUAUCCCUAUAUCUCCGCCCUCUUGCGUCUCCAUCCCACCCUCCCUAUCCCACGCCUCUAGGUGGUCACAAAGCACCAAGCUGAUCUCCCUGUGCUAUGCGGCUGCUUCCCACUAGCUAUCUAUUUUGUCCUUCCCCUAGGUUCUUCAGACGAUGUUUUUUUUUUUAGAUUUGAUAUAUAUGUGUUAGCAUACAGUAUUUAUUUUUCUCUUUCUGACUUACUUCACUCUGUAUGACAGACUCUAGGUCCAUCCAUCUCACUACAAAUAACUCAAUUUCAUUUCUUUUGUGAUCACUGAAAACAAUUUGAGUUUUACUUGCUGUUUUUCUUCUCCACGGGAAUACAGCUCACUAGCCACACAGUCACAUUACUGAGUUUUAAAGUUACUUGAGAUAACUGGACCCUUGAUAUCAGGUUAACAUCAUUUGGUGCAUUUAGCUUUUUGUUUCCUUCAUUGUUUUAGUUUUUUCAUAAUUAUGUAGUACUUAUCUGGCUUCAAAAUCAAAGCUGUAACCUGAGUUGUAUUCAGGAAAAUUUAAUUUUCAUCCCUGCUUUUUCCACCUUGCCUUCUUCUCUACUCUGUAGGUAACCAUUUGAUAAAAGUUUAAAAAUUACCCUUUGCAUUAGUUUGCUAGGGCUGCCGUAACAGGAUAACACAGACUGGGUGGCUUAAACAACAAAAAUAUAUUUCUCAUGGUUCUGGAGGCUGGACAUUCAAGAUCAAGGUGUCAGCAGGGCUGGUUUCUUCUGCGGCAUCUCCUUGGUUUGCAGACAACAUCACGGCACCAUGAACUUGGCCAGUGAGAAUGGAAGGUACAUAAUCGGUGGCAUGUGUUGCGUGAUGUGUAGAGGGUCCGUGUAAGGUGAGGGGCUCAAUUGUUUAUCCGAACAUGCUGUGGUUUUAGGUGGUCUGACCAUGUGCUCAGUGCCCAGAACAGUCCCAUUUUCUGCUUGUUGCCCCCAUGUAAUUAUUACAGGGUCCCCCUUCCUCUUAAAAGUGUUCCAGUUUUGGACAGUAAAUUCUACGGGCACCCUAGUUUUGAAGGUCCAAUAAAUAACGAUAAAACGGUUGGCCUCUGUGUUAAAAAUGUUAGGGCUGUCGUUUUCUAGUCCUGGCUUGAAGUCUGAGCUCUGCAUUAUUCCCAGUUAGUUUCUUCGCAGAUUCUGGUGCUAAGCCAGACUCAGCCUGUUCUAAGGUCUCCUCCAUCCUUUUCGUAAAUGAUCCCAUGAGCCUUCGACUUUGAGGUUCAGCUUUAGCUGGGAAGAGCCUUGUCCUGGUCUUUCCCAGCCUAGGCGGGUACAUUCAAGAAGUGGUCAGCUGCUUUCUAAUUAAUUCCUCCUCCCAGGAUGGAGUCUGUGCUGUUACCUGAGGUAGGCUGCAUACCCGUCUGUUGGCGUACGCUGGCCCCCUGGAAAGGGUGGGCAGGAUUGUAUAAGGCUGCAUCACAGCAUGUGCAGAAUUUAAACACUGGGUAUAAUGUCCAGAAAGUGUGCUGGCGAUGCCGACCGAAUCAGACUUAAUCAGCGUGUUUGCUUUUGCAGCAAUGAAAAUAAUGUGUCCUGUGUAGUGCUGACGGUAAUCUGCCCUAAUUCUCCCUUUUGAGUUUGGAGGAUUCCUACAACUUCUCUACCAAGUUCUUCCCGAGUUAUAGCAAGAGCGCCAUCUCUCCAUGUUACUGCUGUUUUCACACACCUCGAGUUAUGUGCUUCACUUUCAGAGUCUUCCGUGUCAGCUGGUUUGCACACUGCCUUCAAGUUCACUUACAGUCUAUGGGGCCGACUUUGUUCUCAGGCCAGACUGGAAUCGAGCUAUUCUCUGUUGAAUUUAUAGUGCCUAGUGCCCCAGGAAUAGUGCCCAAGCUAUUCUCUGUUGAAUUUAUAGUGCCCUACAUUGUAACCGAUAUAUAAUUUCUCCAUUUAAAAUUCCCCAUCAGGGAGUUUAGGUUAUUUCUCUUCCUCCUUCCUUCUCAUUUAAGCUCUUUAUCUGUGAAUUAGAAAUCAUCCUGAUCGUGCUCAACAGCCAGCAGCCUAGCGCUGGUGCUACCAUACUAAAGGGAAUAGUGUACAAGUUACGAUGGGCAGUUGCACCGAGUGGAGACUACGGGCGUCUUUAGGACGCUCAGAAGUUCCCUUCAAAAUUCCACCAGACCCCCAUCUAACUCCUUAAUCUUAGCUAAAUGAAACUGAGUAUUGACUAUGGAGCAAUAAGAAAUAUUAAGACAAUAUUAUUCUACUAGUUUUAUGCCCCAGAGUAUCUGCCACUCAAAAUAGUUGAUCAGUUUACAUUUUUAAAUGAAUAAACACAUGACAUCAUUCAUGUGUUUAAAGCACUUCAAAAAGCUUUUUGUUAUGGAAAGUUCCAAACAAUUAUUUUAAAAGGUAGAGAAAAUAGUGUAUUGCACGCCCAUGUACCCAAUAUCCCACUUCAACAACUACCAACUGGCGGUCAAUAUUGUUUUAUCCUUCUUCCAUUCCCCUGCCACCUACAUUUUUUUUUUUUUAGAUGUUGGGGGUAGGAGUUUAUUAAUUUAUUAAUUUAUUUUUGCUGUGUUGGGUCUUCAUUUCUGUGCCAGGGCUUUCUCUAGUUGUGGCAAGCCGGGGCCACCCUUCAUCGCGGUGCGCGGGCCUCUCACUAUCGCGGCCUCUCUUGUUGCGGAGCACAGGCUCCAGACGCGCAGGCUCAGUAGUUGUGGCUCACGGGCCUAGUUGCUCCGCGGCAUGUGGGAUCCUCCCAGACCAGGGCUCGAACCCGUGUUCCCUGCAUUAGCAGGCAGAUUGUCAACCACUGUGCCACCAGGGAAGCCCUGCCUACAUUUUUUAAAGGACAAAUCUCAGAUAUCAUAUAAUUUCAUCUGUAUUUCACUAUGUACUUCUGAAGAUAAGAACUCAUUUAAAAAUAUAACAUAGGGCUUCCCUGGUGGCGCAGUGGUUGAGAGUCCGCCUGCCGAUGCGGGGGACAUGGCUUCGUGCCCCGGUCCGGGAAAAUCCCACAUGCCACGGAGCAGCUGGGCCCGUGAGCCAUGGCCGCGGAGCCUGCGCGUCCGGAGCCUGUGCUCCGCAACGGGAGAGGCCACAGCAGUGAGAGGCUCGCGUACUGCAAAAAAACCCCACAAAAAAACAAAAAAAAAUACAAAAAAUAACAUAAUACCAUUAUCAUACCUACAAAAUUAACAGUAAUUUUUAAUAUCAUUAAAUACUCAAUAGGUGUUAAAUUUUCAAUUAUCUUGAAGAUGUCAUAUUACUUUAAAGUCAUUUUUAUUGAAGUGCAUUUUUCAUGUAAUAAAAUGUACCUAUAUUAAGGGUGCAGUUAAAUGAGUCUUGACAAAUGUACAUACUCCUGUAACCACCAUCAUAGUCAAGUUAGAGAACAUUUUCACCACCACAGGAAGUUCUUUCAUGCCCCCUGCAUGCAAUUUCACCUCCUCUUCCCAAUCUCAGCCCCAGGCAACAGCUCAUCUGCUUUCUUUCACAUUUAUAUGGGCAUAGAAAUAGAGGAAUAUAGAUAGAUAUCUAUCUUCUUCUGGCCACUUAAAACAUUUACUGCUAACAAUUGGUUCUCAGCAAUUUGAUUGUGAUGUUCCCCUCAAUGGUUGGUGUUUAUCCAUCGUGUGUAUCCCUGAGCUUCUUAGACCUAUGGAUUUGUUAUUUGCAUCAGAGAUGGAAAAUUUCCAGUCAUUAUUCUGCAAAUAAUUUGUUUUUGCCACCGGCUCUCUGUCUUCUUCUUCCUGGACUCCAGUUACAUGUGUAUUUGACUACUUGAUGUUGUCCCACAGGUUGCUGAGUUUGUGUGUGUGUGUUUUGUCUUUUUUCCUUUCUAUGUAUUAUUUGAAUAUUUUCCAUUUCAACGUCUUCCUGUUCACUGACCUUUCUUUUGUAGCAUCUGAUCUGAUGUUACAAUUGUCCAAUUAAAUUUUCCCAACAAAUAGUGUAUUUUUCUUCUCUAAAAGUUCCAUUUGAUGCUUUUUAAAAACACUUUUCUUAUGUCUCUUCAUCAUGUGCAUGUUUUCCUUUGAGAUUUAAGUAUACGUAUAAGAGUGCUUUAGAAGUCCUUGUCUGCUGUUUCUAACAUCUCUGUCAUUUAUGGGUCUGUUUCUUCUGACUGAUUUUCCUUCUUGUUAUGGGUCAUAAUUAGCUGUUUUUUGCAUGUCUAGUAAUUUUUGAUUGGAUGUGGGACGUUAUGAGGUUUAGGUCGUUGAGUGUUUGGGUUUUGUUUUCUUAAAGUGUUUUGGAUUUUGUUUUGCUAGAAAAUUAAGUUACAUAUUUCUGAUGAAUCCUUACCAGGUUUGUAUUUAAGCCCUUUUUAGGGCAGUUCUAGACUAGUCUGUACUUUAGGGCUAAGUUAACCCUAUUACUAAGGUGUGCCCCUCUGGCAUCUCUACAUAUUGCUCUGGGCGCUCAAGCAGGAGUGUCCACAUGGCUGGUUAGAAUGUGCAUCCCUCCCAGCCCUGUGAAAGCUCUGGGAACUGUUCUUUGUCCAGCCUUGUAGAAAUAUCCCCUAUGAAUGCACAGAUUUGGAUUCAGCCAGAGGCUCAAGGGGCCCCCAUGCAGAUUUCUGGAACCCUUCUUUGCACAGUUCAGUUCUCUCUGGUACGGCCUCCCUGAAGUCUGAUCUGUUUCCCUCAACUCAGAUGUGGAGCUCCUCUUAGAUGCUCCUGUCCCUUUGCUGUUGUUUUAAAUUUGCUUUCAGGCAGAAAUCCAGGAGAUUGUAAAGCUCAGCUUCUUUGUUUCUUUUUCUCCAGCAUCAGAGUCAUAUUGUUGGAUAUCUUAUGUCUAAAAACGUUUUCAUUUAUGUUUUGCACAAUUUUCUGUUUGUUUGGGGGAGGAAAAUAAUCUGUACUGGUUUCUCCUUCAUGGCCAGUAAUUUAAGUUGUAAUUUUAAAAAGCAGUUUGUAUACUUGAAUUGGGAUUCAAAUAAAAUUCACACAAUGUGAUGGGCUGGUGUCUUUUUACCUUUUUAAAUAAUUAAGUCCAUCCUUCACCUUCCUCGCUCUCUCUUUUUUCUUCCCUUCUCUUUUGUUGAAAACUGGGGAAGUUUGUAUGUUGAGUUUCACACGUCAUUCUGGAUUUCACUGACUGUUCCCAUGUGUCGUUUAACUUAUUCCUCCAUACACAUUCCCUGGUAACUGGUGAUUGAACUGAGAGACUCGAUCAGAUUCAGAUUAGUUUUUUUUCAAGAUGACUUUAAAGGUGUCGGUUGCUUUUCCAUCAAGCGGCACAUGCCUUUCUGUUGUGUUAGCAGCCACUGAUGCUCAGUAACUAGACUAGAACAUUUCAUUUAAUUUGCUGAUUUAUCAUAGAGACUGGGCCUCAGCAAGGAUGAAUUUCUAGACUGGGCAAAUGGGACUAUUAUUUCUAGCCGUGUACUUCAAAAUAUGAAUUACAGUGACAAAUUGGAGCUCCAAUAAAAAGUGGAAUGUUUUUAAACUUGCUCAAAGAAAAGUUGACCCAUUUUUACAAAGUGGAAGGAGGCCAGCCUGAAUUAUAUCAGUCUAUACAUGUGACUUUCAAAGUUGUGCUCUAAUUAAAGCUGGGCUCAAGCAGUGCUGUCAGGGGGAAGACACCCUUUCUCUGCAAUGAGAGGCAAGAAUGACUUUUCGGAUCAGUCAUAAGACAAGGAUGCUUCUUCGGUGCUUAAGGAACGUUAAAGCUUUUUCAAGUGUAAAUUUGUUUAAAUACGUCCUUUCCUGGUAGUUUGUGGGGAUGACAUGUUAGCUAUGAACGUAGGACUUUCUAGGUGAAGUUGAAUAUCUGUCCUAGCUCAAAUACUAGUUGACAUAAUACUGUUUAUUUUUACAAAGCACUUUCACUAUGUUCUUUCAUUUCUUCUUCCUCAAGAUUUUUCUCGAUAUUAGCAACCUAAUUUUGUAAGACAUGGAAACCGGAGCACAGAAGACCCGGGACUGGGAGAAGCUCGUUCAGCUCCUGGCCUCCGCUGUGGUUGACACCCUCCCCCCUGCCCCACCCCAUGCCCUGGAACACAGCCGGAAGGUUCUCCAGUCUCCCCACUUGGCACUCCUGUGCAGAGGAACCAAGGCCGGCAUUUCCUCGUAGCUUUUGGGACAGUGAUCGCAGGUCAGGUGUGCGUGCGGUGUCUUGCUUUGAGCUUCCUUCCUCCGUGGUGUCUCGGACUCUCCGGAGCAUCUUUUCAGGUGUUGGUUGAUCGUCAUUGGUAAGGUCGACGAGCAGAGCGUGUAGCUGUGCUCCCAGAGUGGUCCACGCCACACAGGCGGUCCGUCUGCAGCCGCCCCUGCCCUUCUGGAGCGCUCCCGGGAUGACCUGUAUCCUUGGUGAAGCGCGAUAUUGGUUUCCCAGGCUCCAUGUGCUUAUUUGGGGAGCAUUGCCGUGUUAGUGACCUUCACCCAUCACACUCCAGAUACCCCUUAGAGGGUAACCUCCUCCUCUCUAAAAUAUUUGUUUAGUGUGGGAUGUUUGGUUUCGACUUUCUGGGAAGUCCGUUUUAAAGGAUGCUUCAGCUGUGUCAGCUCAGGUGUGGUGACAGCUGCUUAGCGUUGAUGUGACCGACAUUUUCUUCCUGCCACACUGGACCUCAUAUUCUCGGCCUCUUUGUCUCCUGCUCCUCAGGGAAGUAAAGUUAAACUUUAUCUUCACUGUUCUUGUAGAGCUGCAGCCACCAGACAUCCCAGAUUUGGGCAAAAGCCCUAUUUCGACUCUUCUGACUAAUGGUCCACACAAAUUGUUGAGAUGCUGUCCGGAAUUCUGUAUAUUUCAAUGUUGAAUCUGUCUCCCGGGCUGCCUCCUUGAAAGCAGAGAUGGACAGAAACAUCUUUUGUAAGAUCUCCAUUCCCGUUGAGACGUGAGUCACGGUGAGAGAGAGCGCCUGCCCUUAUGCAGCUGCCCACAGCCCCUCCCGAGGAGUCUGUCUGCGUCCCGUUUCCAGUGUCCCCCUGCCCUGGAGGGGGCAUGGUGGCUCACUGUGAAGAAGGGCAUUGAAGUAUUGGUCACCAGAAUUGUGCGGAGGGACUCCUGUGAAUGGGAAUGUAUUCAGCUGGUCGUACGCAUGAGCUUGUAGCAGUGAGGCCUCAGGGCAUCCUGACUCACAGAGAAGGACAAUUUCACUUUGCCACGGAGACCGGGCGGUUGUCAUGCAGACAGGAGCGGGCGCGGGCGCGGGGCUGGGUCAGGGGAGGCUGCCCUGUCUGCUUGGAGUCCCGUGCGGGGCUGGAGGCCGGGGCCGCGCCUUCCUCUCUCUGCUUGGACGCUGUCUGUCCACUUGAAUACAGUGGAUGCUUCACAGUCUGUGAGGACGGGGCGGGCGGGGACCCUGGGGUGUGGUCUGGCCGAGGCCCCGCCCUUUCUGGCCCCGUAAUCCUGUCCGGUUGCCUCCCGUCUCCACAGCUCUUCCCUCACUAGGGGAGUGAGCGUCACGGGGAGGAUUAAACACGAGCCUGCUUGGAGGCAGUCAGCUUAGCACGAUUGCCUGGUGAGCGACGAGAGUGCAGAGGGUCAGCAGGCAGUGCCGCCCAGGCCCUGGCCGGUUCCUGUAUUUUUCCCUGAGGAGGUUGACCUGCGCACCCCUGAGGCCUUGAGCAAGUUUAGGCCGCUGCCAGGACGGUUACGGGAGCUUGGAGACGCUUUCUGGGCCAAGGGGCUGCCCAGACUGCCUGUGUGUGAGCCGAGGGGCCUUGGGAUGCUAACGCUGGCCGGCGCGUGGUGGCCCCCCUCCUGGCCCCAGAGUGUCCGAGUGGGUCGAGACCAGGCCGCCAGGGACGUGUCCGCCUCUCUGCUCCGGUGCACUGUGGUCCUGCGUGCACGAGGCCCCCGCGAGGCUGGGGGCCAGAGGCGUGAAGAGGGGCAGGCUUCUGACCUUUCCCCACCGGCUGGACCGAGUCCUUGGGAACAGCGACUUCACAGACUCUCUCACGAGCUCACCACACGCUUAGCCAGGGUGGAAGGAAGGCUCUCCUGCUCCAGGUCUGGGCGCCUCCUGGGUCAAGUUCUCAGCUGACGUGGGGUCACCGUUGCCCUCUGGGCGCUGUGAUCUUGUGGGGACGUGCAGACCCAGAGGGCGUGGCUUGAGGAUGCUCGGAUGGCAGCACGUGGAGGACAGGAUCAUAGAGGCCGGGUGCCCGGUAUCCACCGGGAAAGGACCUCUCGAUCGGGCUUCAGUAAAUACUGACGAGUGCUGGCAGGUAAGUUUCCGUGAUGGAAUCUAUCACCUGUUCAGACUGCACAUCGCGGGCACACAAAGGACUCGGGCUGGACGUGACACAGAGAGCGACACGGGCACCCGGAGGUACAACGGCUGUGCCUUAGAUAAGGAGGACAACCUCCCUGAUGAGGCCGUGGCUGGGAUGUCCCUGCCCAAGGCGUGGCACAGCGUGUUAGGUGCUUCCUGCGAAGCGCGAAGUGAGAGGAGAACAGCUCAGAGGGAGACGCCCCAGCCUCUGUUUAUACGAUCUUGAGACAUCAGCCCUGCCCGGAACACGCGGCUUCGGUGAAAGGCUUGAGGACCCAGCAUGGCCAGAGGCAUCUGGAGCUGUGCGGAGCACCGACCACGCCGCGAUGAACGGGAUGUGGUCCAUACCUGGAUGCAGAGGCGUGUCGGCAGGUGCCCGUCUCAGGAGCCUGAGCCAUCCGGAACCGAGCCAUGGGCUCGGGGCGGAGGGUCAGUGACGGCUCCACAGGUAAGCCAGUCUCCGUCUGGUUCGUGUGGAGGAUUUGCCCCUGGCACGGGAAGAGCAGACCUUGUGUCAGGGGCUGUGAGUCGCUCACAGGUUCACUGUUCUCUGCGAGACUCAAGUCCUUUGCCUGUCAAAUGGGAUCAUGAUCCGCCUCCCGGGGGGGAGGGGCAGCCAGGACACAGCCUAGCACACGGCAGGCGCUCGACAGCUGACUUCACUCACGUUCCCAUCCCCGGAUGUGCCGGAACAGGGGCCCUCGGUAGAUACGUUUAUAAUGACCUCACGAGGGAAGACACAACAGCAGAGAAAGUAGCAGGUGCAAGAGGUCCUGGGUCACGGGGUCAGGCACACGUGCAUGUCCACGUGUGUGCACGUGUGUGCAGCGGGUGUGUAUUUGUGUGUCUGGUGUGUGCGUGUGUUACACUUGCGUGUCCGUGCUCACACCGCACAAGCGUGGGGAGAGAAGCAAGGGUGGGACCAUUGACGAAGGGCUUUGUUGAAAGACGUGUGAAAAGCUGGUCCUGCCAUCAGCCUGCUCUGGGAUCUGGGGAGAAACUGUCCGUAAAAUCACUUGUUGUAACGCCAAAAUAUUUACUUUUGGAAGAAGAGAGAAGAGAAGGCCUGACAGGAGGCACUGGGGUUGGUUCUGGUCUAAAAGGGCCAUAAAUCUUCAGGCUGUGGAACUAGUGCGGCCUGGGAUUUAAUCACUGUAUGGAUUUAUGCUCUGCCUCUUCCUGUGAGACCCGGGGCGCUGUGGGGCAGAGGUGACCCCGCGAGACACCUGCAUCUUCUGCGUCUUCCUGUUGGGAAGCUGCUGCCCCGUCAGCAGCUGUGCAGGGACCGCGGGCUCCUCCCCGUUUCCACGACUUUCCCACCGCGCGGGAAGCGCUCAGAUGGCUGCGCGUUUUGGAGGGGGGUUGAGUCAGUCCUUGGAUACAUUUUAGAGAGAAGAGCGGCCGAAGGUGAGGAGAGCUGAGUCAUUCCUGGCUUUCGAGCACGAGUCUCAGGAAAGCUCUCUGGUUCCAGAAAUGUGGUGGAUAAGUAAUCUGAAAUCUGUCCAGCUGCGACUAUCUUGAAGUGCUAAGAACGCAUUAGCAAAUGUUCUCUUAAACGUGGAGCUGAGCUUGUGAGAAAGGCUGGGGUGCUUCCAGGGAUCAGAGGGGGCUGGGUCGGGGGCUGGCAGGGGCACCGGGAUCCCGGGCGAGGGCUUGGGGCCCCAGGGUAAUCAAGGGGCUCUGACUGCAAACCACCUUCGUGAGACCAGGAAGGAUGGACCCCAAAGAACAGGAGCAACGAAGGAGUCUGUCCUCCCCGUAGAGAGAGGCAGCGCCCGGGCCUGGGUCUCCCCUGGGAAUUCCCGGAAGGGGCCCCGCACCCCGGGGAGGAGGCCCAGGUAGAUUCCAAAGACACAGAAGCUGGAAUCGAGGCGUUAGGAGAGACAAACAUCCGGGUAAAGGAGUGCUAGCAGAGAUGUUUUUAAGUCGCUAAGUAACAGGGAAAUACUCAGUUCUGAGCUGGGAUCAGGCCAGUAACGCCAUGUAAUGUGUAUAAAGCAGAAGCUGACGGGCUUCCAAGGAGAAAGUGGGCCCCGCGCGCACCACGCCUGGUUACAGGCUCUGGGGCAGCCGCUUCACAGCAGUUCCCGGCUCACCCCAAGGGGCUCGAACGGCAGCACCGGACUGGUCGUUGUUGCAGGAAUUGGUAAGUGAUGCUGAAAGAAGUCAGGGCUCUAGCUUCCCUGCAGACACCUCCCCGUGCGUGGGAGCCGGCAGAUCACAGCCCCCUUGCUGGGCGGGCCCAUCCCCAGAGGCCGAGCACCCCGUCCCAGGGCUCCUGCUGCAAGUGGGAAGUUUGUCCGGGAAAUUCAAGCACCCGAAGGUGCCAGUAAUCCUAUGGUUCUGCGGCUUAGCCGCGUUGGGAUAGUCCUUGGCGUUGCCCCACACGCAACUCAGGGACAGUCAGGGACACUUUGGGCCUGGCGGGCCCCACGUGUCGUGGCAGAGUGUGCAGUGACACGGUGUCCACAUGGGGCCUGCCCACGCGCUGAGCGGGGUCAGCCCCUCCACUGUAUCUGGGGACUCUGCAUCCCCGAGUUGGAGAAGCCCGUUCUGGCCCAACACCCAUGGGACACGGCCUGACACUGACCACGUGGCUGCAGCCCCGAGUGCAGACGGCAACCAAAGCGCAGAACUGCUGUCACACGAGCCACGUUCUCCAGCAAACGCCCCACCAACUAGGAACUGACCACGGCAAAGCCCACGCCCACCCCCACGUGGGGACAGCCCAGUCUGUGCUUUCUUCCGGCUCUUCCCGUCGUGGCUGGUCCCGCAGGUCCCAGCGUCGCAGGACACAGGCGGCAAAGUGGACACUCUCGUCUCGACACGUCCACCUUUAAAGGGAACAGUGCUUGAGGCGUGUGGCUAAUCGUGCGAUAUUUAGGGCUACGCUUUUCAGGUUAAAGAGUUUCCCCUUGAUUCCUAUUUUCCUAAGAGUUUUAAUGAAACAGUGUUGAAAUUUAUCCAACGUUGGGGUCUGAGAUGCUGGGUGGAGGUGUGAGGAGAUGUUACUUCAUUCUCUAUCCUUUUCAGGACAAUCACAUUUUUCAUAAUUAAAAAAACAUGCUUUUCACAGAAAGCAGCAGCUCAGACGCCCUUAGCAACAGCAGUGGGUGUGGGACACCAGCCCCACACAAUGCUUUCAGACGAUUUAUGUCGAGUCUGAAAUUUAUUCAGAAAAAAGGAAACAUGAGCCCAUAUUUCAUUGGACCAUAUUUGAUGAUAAUAUGGGUCAUGUAUUCAUAUAACGUAAAAAGUGCUCCUACAUGACUGGACACGUGUCCCCUAUCUAUUAGUUUGGGGCCAAUGCCAUGAUCAGUAGGUUUCUACUUUGCUGUUUCACUACCUUGAGAGCUGAUGAGGCCUUCUGUGAAAUGAUGUUCACAGCACACGUAUGCUGCCCUAUAUGAUACGGAUAAUAACUAUUGUAUUUAAAUGAAAUCAAAAUAUUAACAUUAUUUCUAACACGUCAGCUCUGCUCACAGAACAGGGGUAGAGCCUUUAGACUGUGAAGUCACAUCAUCUGGGUUGAAAUGCCAGCUUACUGGCCCCGUGCUCACCGGCCCCGUGCUUACCGGCCCCAUGCUCACCGGCCCCGUGCUCACCGGCCCCGUGCUCACCGGCCCCGUGCUUACCGGCCCCGUGCUCACUGGCCUCGUGCUCACUGGCCCCGUGCUUACCGGCCCCAUGCUCACCGGCCUCGUGCUCACCAGCCCCAUGCUCACCGGCCCCGUGCUCACCAGCCCCGUGCUUACUGGCCUCGUGCCUCGGACACUUGCUUCGUGUCUCCGGGCAUCUAUUUUUUCAGGCUUAAAACGGGACUAACAAUGGCGCCCACCUCCUAACACUGUUGCGGGGAUCACGGCCAACGAAUGUGCCGAGUGCCUGCAGGCACCUGACAGUGAACAAAGGGUAUCCCUGGACUUCAAGGGCGCCGUCAAGUUCUUUGUUUACAUGAUCUCCACUAAGCCUUCAGUGUUACGAGAUGACCCCACUAUUAUAACUAGUUUACAGAUGAGGUAAUUGAGGCUUGGAGACAUGAAAAUUGUUUUAAAGGUUGUGGUUGUUUAAUCUUUGCCUUAUUAAAGCUGUCUCUCGUGUAUGCCAUCUGCUUGACGUUACAUUCCUGAUUAGAAACACGGCCCUCGAUUUUAUCAUUGUUCCCAUGAGAAAAUAUUAUCCACCUUGCAAUGAUUUACUGUGGUGGUGUUUUGGGACACAGACGAAAGCAAAACACGAAUGGAAAUGAAAUGAAAAAUGCACUAGAUAGAAUAAAAUAAACCAAAAUAAAACAGAGUGGAAGGAAUUGCAAAGCCACACGUGACAGCAGGAAGAACGAUGAGCUGUGGGUGGCGGCCCCUGGUUCUGCUCCUAGCCUCUGUCGCCACCUGCACGACGACAGGCCCUGGGGUAGGACCUGGAGACCCAGCUCCCGUGGCUUCCUUCCUCUGACCUGCCACCUUGGUGGAUCGAAGCCAGCGAUCUCCAGGUUCGCCUCCUGGUCUGAUGUUCUCUUUAUCAGAACCUGUGCGUGUUCACAGUUUCAGAGACAGUCAGGUGUUAACUGAACAAGCGUCAAUGCUCAAAAAGUCUACAGGCUGACGUGGGGGAUUUACUGCUCAGAGGCACCUACAACUUUCUAAGGCUUUUGCUCUGUCUUGUCUCCAUGUGUUUGUUUUACAUGAUGUGGACGUUGGGGGAAAGAUUUACCUUUUUUGGAAGGAUAAGAACAUGUUACUUUCGUUACAAUAGCGAAUACUCCCCUCCACGAAGCCCUGCCCUCACACUACACGAUUUGGAAAACAUCUGUAGCAGACGGCAAGGCAAAUCCAGAUGAAACUCAUUAUUCAGUCCGAUUAAUCUCUUUCCUUGGCCGAUGACACGGACUGUCCGGAGUCCCAAUUGGUUGUAACUUUAAUCAGUUUGGACCCCCUUGGUUUUAAAGUAUCUGUGUCAGAAACAGUCACAUUUAGGAAAAGAUUUGAAAUCUCUCCAAGUCCAAACGUGAAAUGUUUUAACCAAGGUCCAUUGGGAAGUAACAUCUGGCAGGAGUCAGGGCAGCAGAGAAGGUGUUCAGAGACCUCGGUUCUGCGAGCAGAGCAUCUUCCCCGGGGCCCCGGGCAGCCGAAGCCGCCAAGUCUGUCUCGUGCACCCCAACUGUAGACAGAGGCUCAGGGCUGCCUGCACCCCCGGGGGGCGAGGCGGUCCGCGUGGGUGUGCUUGGCGGUGCUGAGUGCUGGCGGCUCACAGAGACUCACCCUCCCAAUCCCCUGAGUUCAGGCUUCUCAGCGCCGGCCGAGGACCUGGGAAUCUCUCCCUCACAGUUUGCAAAUGGCAGAGCUGUUAUCGGGCAAACUCUUUCUCCAAACCGGUUCACACUGGUAUCUGCUAUUUAAAAAAAUAGUUAAACACUUGAGCAAUCGUGUCUGAGGGUUUGGCUGGUAAUCUCUCACGAUAGUAGAGGCAAAUAUUGUUCCUUUUCCCCUUUUGCUCCGUUGCCUCUGCCCUGGUCCCCUAGAGUUUCACAGUCUGGAAAGUCUGAAGCAGAAACGCAAGGCAAUGACCUUUCACAGCUCAGGGGCCACGCUGGGCGGCUUCCUGGGAGAUGCUGCAGCUGAGGGUCCUGGGGUGGGAAGCAGAGGCCUGGGCGGCUGGCCGGGGGCCGCUUGUUGCCACAGACGCACUCUGACCUACUGCCGAGACCCUGCAUCUUCCUGCCUCCAAGGCUGGUUCAGACUCAGUGACGAUGCCCCCCCCGCCCCCCGCGUCGUGUGCCUUAGCAGGAACAGUGUUUUACCCAGACCUCCCUCGAGGGCCACCUCGCUGCCUUCAAAACUUUUCUCAAGUGUUUCUCUUUCCAGGGAACUGUAGCUUCCUACAACCUCUGUCCCCAGCUGCCUCCUCAGUGGAGGCUGCAGGUGCCACUCCCCAGUGACACAGGAGUGACAGACCUUGGGCAAGUCCCCGUGUGUAUCUGCCACACACCCCGCCCUCCGCUGUCAGCAGGUUUCGUUCCAUCCCCGAAUGUGUUAAUUAAGGGGUCCUCUCAAUUGCACUGAUGUCUUGUUGGAACAUUUUUAAAUUUGGCUAAAAUAUCUCCUGAUCCCUUGAAGAAACAUCCUCCUAAGAGCGGAAAGUGAAAGGCUUUCUUCUCCCUGUUUUUUAGUUGCUCCAUUACUCAUCUCUGCUUCAGAUCUGCUUACAGCGCGAUGUUCUGCUCGGCUCCCGCCCUGUGGAAGGGGGCCUGUAACUGCCUUUGCAGAGCUACCAGGAGCAUUAGUACGACUGCGAGCUCCUGGGAGGGGGGAAGGGGUGACCUUUGUGACGUUUUGGCUUCACGUCCCGCGCAGAGCAGAGAAGGGGGCCGUGGGGAGGUCGUGGCGAGGUGGUCCCGGCGUCCCCCCUCCCCUGGCCUCGGCCACUGUGGCAUAGUUGAGCGGACGCUGCACCCGCCCCAGAAAAGCACGAGAUCCCGAGGCGGGCCUGGGAAUAAACUCACGGCUUAUCUGAGAAAGCCGUCAGUGUUGACCAAGGGAAGGGCUCUGAUAAUAGUUUCUUAACUCCAAACCCGCCACUCCCGUAAACGUCCAGCCUGAAGCAGGCUUGGUCACAAAGAAGAAAGUUCCAGAACACUUGCAGGCGUCCCGAUGCUUUGACUCGGCGUGGGUCGAGAACAGGGCCCGCGACCUUUCCUCUGAGAAGGAUCUGAGAGCAAAUGUCUUUCCUCUGUUGGCUCAUCCCUUUGCUGUAGCCAAGGGGCCACAGAGAAGACAAGACACGCCGCGUGGGUGUUCUGUGAAGACGUUACGGAAGCAGUGACUGUGGGGCCGCAUCUGGCCCGGGGCCGUGGCUGGCCGGCUCCCGGCCCAGGAGAGCCAGAGUACUCGGGGCUCUGCCUCUUCCCGGGGACUUUGCCCCCCAGCCAGCCUCCUGGAUGGGACAGGCCGGGGAGGCCCGCUCUCUGCCCUUUUCCCAGCCCCUGCCCACGCUCCUCCGCACUGAAUCCACUGCUCCUCUUUCCCCGGGGUCCUCGGAGCACGGGUGGGCUGGCCAGGCCGGGCCGGGCUCCACGCCCACAGAAGGGCCCUGUCUUUCGGGUGACCCGAGCGGCUGAACUAGUCACUGAAAUGUCCCUAUUGUCCUCCAAGCCUAGAUUUCACGGGAUGCACUUCCGAAACGUGAGGCAUGCCCUCCACAAACCAGAUCCCAGGUCUCCCGGGUACCGACGAGCAUAUUCUAACCUUACACAAAUGUGGUAAUGCAGUGAUCUGAAUUAGGGAUACCCGGGAAAGAGAAAUAGUUACUCACUGAUUCUAAGCCUCAGCUCACGUUGGUUACCUGCAUGCGUGUUUUUAGUUGGUAAGCGAUGUGUUUGGAAGUUGACAUCGUUUUCACACCACCUUUGCUCUAUCGCAUGUUCAGGACACCAGGAGGCAAAGGGACAUGAACUCUGACUCUGCACGUGUCCUCCCGACAGGGGAGCAGAAGGAAGCCCUGUCCGUCACGUAGCAGCCUUGGGAGAACUACUGAAGAGAGACGCUUGGAACAAGCAACGUCCAAGUUCCUCCUCUGCGGGUGUGUCCGGUGUGAGGGGUACAAUCCCUCCGGGCGUGUGUGAACUGCAGACGCUGGGCGGGGGUGGGCGUCCUCCGGGACCAGCAGGAAGCCAUCGGGCUCCUCUCCCCUCCCUCCUGCGCCGGCCUGUUCCCUCCCGUCUGACCUGGACGUGCCCACAGUGUCCACGUUCCUUGCAAACCAGCCUCCUCCGCUUACCUGUCAGUGUGGAGGUUCCCAGUGGCCACCCCUGGAAGAGGCUCAUCCCAGCAUCCCCGCAUCUCAGGAAGGCCCUGCGAGGUUGCCACUAACCGGCCCCUGGAUGGAGCUACGGUGUCUGUGGCCACACGUCACGUUCGGGGGGGAGAAGGGAAUUGGCCGGUCCUGAGCCGGCAUCCACCACCAUCCAGCCGGUGUGGGAACGGUGGGGACCAUCCUGAGAUCAGUGCGGCCGUUUCCAGAGGAGGUCUGGGCACCCCAAACCGUGCCUCUCCGGAGCAUCCUCUCGCCUAUACACCUGGCUCCUGAAACAACAAGGUAUCCAGGUAACCAGUGACCUCGGUCACGUCAGAGCCCGUACAACGUACUGGGUCCCUGGUUCCGUUCAAGGGGAGGGAUCCUCGGACCCCGUGUGCUGGGUGCUGUCCCAGCAGAGGGUGGGGCGCUCUGGGCCCCUCCAGGUCCAGCUCAACCCGGCGCCCGCGCUCUGUCACUGAGUCACAAAGGUGCAGGGUGGGGCUUUGACUGGCUGAAGAUAACUGGCCUGCUCCUAUCACGUAAGUUUAAACAUUGCCAUAAUCACCUUCUCCACCAGAAAGCUCGGCAGGAAGAAACACUUCAGCCCUCAAGUCUCCACCCUUCCCUGGGUGACCCUCUGUCCUGUGUGCCGGGGACCAUCCCAGUCUUAGCACUAAGAGCCCCACAUCAGCGGCAAGCCGGACGGCUGGUCACCCUGCCUACAGCCAGCCACACACGGUGUAGCUGGGAGUGGCCGUUCCGCUUCUCCUCCAGGUGUGGGAACCAGCGCCAAGUGUGGUCCUGGAAGCAGCCUCAGGGCCGCAGGUUCCCGAGGGGGGCUGGCUGUCCCCAUGCCUCUUUCCCCAGCAGGGGCAGCUCCUUCUCUGCUUCCCAGAGGCCGGCCCUGCAAGGACUUAGAUUCUGGGCACCAGGCCUGAGUUCUGCCCCCAUGGCCGGGCACUGGUGCUCGCAGGACCCCCCUCCCGGGGUUAGAGCUGGGGUGCUGCCCCAAACAGCCAGCCGACCCCCAGAGGCGCCUGCGGGUCUGGAGGGGAUGCUGGGGUCACAGCCUCCACCACUGACGUCACCAUAUGGGGGACACCCCGGGACCUGGUUUUAUAAGAAAAUGUACUCACUUCCCCCUCCAGGGAAAGCGUGUAUCCCGAGACACAGGACUUGUCUUUCUUUGAAUAAAUGGGUGUGUUCUCAGGGCCAAGCGCAGUGCGCAGCACUUAGGAGGCUCCUAACGAGCGAGCGCAGAUGGGUCAGAGGGCCCUAGUCCGUCCAGGCCCGUCCCAGCCCCCUGGUGACUGGAGGGCAAGCCCGCGUCUGCAGGGCUCUUGGGGUCGUGACUCUCCGCCUCUGGCGCAGGGUGACUCCAGCAUGUCCUGCCAGGGGGCGGCAGUGCCCUCCUCUUGGACAGCCUAGGGGAGGGGUGCCUGAAAGCACCGCUCUGCGGCUCCGCUCCGACUGGGCGGUUAGACGCGGCUUCCGGGGGACACCCCGCUCUUCCGCUCCGUGCCCUCCGCUGCCUGAAGCUGGGGGCUCCGAUGGUGACACCUGCUGCCCGACACAGCUACUCCCCCUUCUCAGCACACAGGUUACUGAGCACCUGCUGUGUGCAGGCCGUCUGAGCCCUGAGAUGUCGCCUGGACCCCGCGAGCCUAUCGACAGCCUUCUGGUCAAGGCCCAGCUCACGUCGCUUCCCGGCUGGGAAAGAGCCCGGCCCCUCCAAACCCCGAGGUGCCUGUCCACGCUGCUCGCGGAUGUGCCCAAGAGCCCACGUGCCGGACCCGGCGGGCGGCCUCUGGUGGCUCUGACGGGGCACACGACGGAGUACACGGCCCCAGACCUCUGGCGGCUCUGACAGAGCCCACGACGGAGCACACGGCCCCAGACCUCUGGUGGCUCUGACGGAGCACACGACGGAGCACAUGGCCCCAGAGUGCGUCUGUUUGCCUGGGCUUCCCUUGCCCUUUUUAGAGGAAGAAACAGAAAUGUUAUGGUGAACAGGCUUCCUGAGCCCGGGGCGGUGUGGGGGCGGGCGCCCAGGAAGGGGGAAAGUCCUGGGGGCUGGGCCGCUGUUCCCGCGGAGCCUGAAGCCUGGUGCCCAUCAGGCGGACCAGGCGGCAGCUGCGUUCCGGCUCCGGGUCUGGCUCUUGCCCCUAAUCCUGGUGCUCUCUGGAGUCCGGCUGCUGCCCGCUGCCCCUGGACUGUCUGGGGGGCUUGAUUUCUUGGGGUGUCACCAGCUGCACAAGGAGGCAGCUUUGGGGCCAGGGGUGCCGGGGUGUGGACUCCCAGUGCAAAGAUGGCACAGUCCUGGGGGGCCAUCCUGAGCACACUGCACGGCUGCAUCUGAAGGAUAAGCCCAGAGCGAGGGCGGGGGCCUGGGGACCAGUUUCAUUGGGCUGUGUGGGCCCCGGGAGGUGAGGCGAGAACCCCAGAAAGGAGAGCCUGCAGGCGGGAGGCCUGGCCUCGACGCGCCCUUUGGACGGCAGAGCAGACGCUCCAGGACCCUGCAGACCAUGCCCCACCCUGGCUCCCAAACUUCUGAGCGGGUCCCUGGGAGGCCCAGCUGUGAGGGGGGUGUCCCGGGGCUGAGGUGCCCGUCCCUGUCACUGUCCACACUGGCUCCUCCAUGUGACAUGUGACAGAGGGGCUUGAGCCAACAGAUCCGAGCGAUUUAUCUUUUGAAAAAUGGAAAAGAGGGAAAACGCAAGUCACCGCCACUGGGCACAGGGACACUGGCGCUCGUUACGUUUGUCUCUGGUUUAUCAUCACAGGCCGGGCCGCCGAGGAUCCUCCAGGUCAGCAUCCAGGUCCUGCGUGACUGGGGAGAGUCCUGCUCUCACCUUUCCGGGACAGGACGUUUUCCUUCUGCUCGUCCAGCUUCACCAGCUACUGACCCUGACGGACAGAGGAUAGAGGGAGGGUCAGCCACACACGCACACACACCCCCCAAAACUGGAUGCACACCCCGUGGGUAGUGAGGGAUUCUCCCCAAAGUUGCUGCAUCUUCCACAGCCCCACGCUUGUCUGUCCUUCCGGCUGUAGACGACACGUCUGUCUCCUCUGCCCUCCAGCUGGACGAGCAGGGGCUUUAGGCCAACAUUGCUCUGGACCAGCCUUGAGCCUCCUGCCAGAGGAGGCCAGCCUGCCCGCCCUCUGUGGCCGAGUGAGUGUCUCCCACGUGGAUGGGACCCUGGAAUCGGACUCCUGCCCCAGCAUCUUACAGCCUGCCGCUAAGCGAUGGGGAAAUCAUUUAUUUAAGCUACGAAGUGAGGUGCCGGUGUGAGGGUCCAGCUGCUGUCUGUGUAGCGUCUUUACUUCCCUGGCACUUGGGAACCUCGCAGGGCUCUCACACUCUGCCUGAGCCACAGGGCUCCUGCCCUGUCCCCGCAGUACAGCACUGCGCACAUCACCGUCCUGACCGAAUCCACCUCCGGGAACAGUGGCCGGGAGAUGCCCUGCUGUGUCCGUGUCCGUGACCGGCGCUUGGCCUUGGCCAGGACCAGACUCAGGACUCAGGGCGGGCUCUCCCUGGUCACCUGGGAGGAACUUACCCUGUUAGCUUAUGGCUUUAAGGGCUUUCGUUGUGCUUUUUACCGCUGAAUGCAUUUUUAAGAUAACAGGCUAGCCUGCAUUUAGAGAGCUUUCUGAGGGUGGCUGUGUAAAUUAAGAGGGAUAAAUCAUUGCAAGUUAUCAUUUAACGGCUCUGGAAGGAGCCUGGCCUCUGCUGGGAUGGCAGGCCCAGGCCUGUCCCCUUGGAACUAACUGCCUGCCUGGGAAGCAUCAGAUCAGGAGGCGUGAAGAGGUGCUUUGGAACAUGUAUUCUCUUCAGACUCCCCUUUGCCCUGUAGUUUGUUCCACUCCACGUGAAACGCUGGGGGACGCCCAGGGCCGGGAAGCAGAGGCCACGUCUGCAGGCUGAGAAUAUGCUGCCGUCCCCUGGCUCCCUGUCCAUCCAGGUGAUGGUGGUGGCGAGAGCAGCUCCUCUGAACCUGGAAUUUGCUAUUUCCUUGAGAAAGUUGACGGGGUAGCUCCCUGCACCCUCGCUGUGUGAAUGGGGCUGGUGGCCCCCUGGCCACCACGUCGGGUGGUCCUGACCCAGUGGUGUCAUUGUUUGCUCCUGUCUCUUUGGUGUCAAUCUUAUCUCCCCAGUUUCCUUGAGGAUAAGAGUCAUGAGGAACUCUUGUGGAUUAUUUAGCAAGUCCUCUGAAGGUGAUCCGUGGUGAAUCGAUGGGUGACCAGACAUCGAUAAAACCCGUAUCUUUGUGUUUCUGGUCAAGAUUUUGUCCACUCAGUGCAGAUGUGGAAUCACCCCUGGAUGGGAAGCCACCAGGGGGCUGGAAUUCCUGCACGCUCUGGUCACUCCUCAGUUAAGGACGGACUCAGAGUCAGACUCUAGGGGGUGCCCGACCUCGUGGGGGCCUCGGGCGAGCGUGUCACCAACUGGCGACCCUGCUCCCAUCCUAACUAGGGCGUAACCAUGGGAAGUGCCUCCCCAGGGCCCGGCCCAAAGUGGGUGCACUGCAUGCCGGGAGCUGGAGCACUGCAUGCUGGGAGUUGUAGGGCUGUCAUCCUGCCACCCCAUCUUCUCUUUCUUUUUCAUUCUGAAGCCUGCUUACACAACCCCACCCAGCAAUUUCCUCUCCGUUUACCUGCCUUUAUCUCUAGCAACUUGUUCCCAUCCGUCGAGCCAAGGAGCAGCCUCCUCUCACAGGGCUCUGCCCGCAGCCUCCCUGGUCCCUCUUCUGCAGGGACACCACAAAUGGGCGUGGCUCCCCUUUGAUCCUCUCCUUGGUUUGAACCUGUUUUUAGAUUGAGUCUCCCAGCAGACGUGUGUGCUUCAUCACUUCCUUUGCCCCCCCUUUGGCCUCCCACCCAUCCUCCGUCUGACUCUCUGCCCAGGGACACUCCAGGGCAGCGGCUGCCACCUGUAAGCCAACACCAGCUCACAGUGUGCGGCUGAAAAGACAAGUCAGAUGAGGCCAGAGAACGUCCGGGACUCGGGCAGCUGGCUCUCCCGGAAGCCAGAGGCCAGGCCACUCGGGGUCUGUACUGAGGGCGGGACGGAGGGAGGUAGUGGAGGUGGCACUGGCAGGUGUGACCGGCUCUCCAGUCGCCACCACCCCGCAUGGGCCUCCCUGCCCAGGACCUGGAAGCAUCAGCUCUGUGGCAGAGCGAGGAGAGCUGAGCAUGAAGGUGGAGAAGCUCAGGCUGGGUUCGGAGCGCGAGCGCUGCCCGGCUGUGCACUGGCCCCCAGCCUGGACCCGCUUCCUUUACAGGGUGACUGAGAGCAAGUGGCCGGAGCGCGGACAAAAGUGCUUGGUGACGUGGGCCGCCCUCGUGGGUCCCUGCGUGGUCGCACCAGCGUCUGUCCUUACGCCCCCUUCUCUGACCCCUGCGUGUCACAACUCUGUUCACGGGCCUUGGAGGCCGAGCGCUCUUGCUGUGCGGGUGACCCGCUGGGAGGAGGGUGAGGCCCGCGAGGGACCGGCUCUCCUGCCGCAGGGCUCGCGGGUGGCUCCUGCACGUCGGCCCUUGCCGCCAGCUCCCACUGCAAAGGGGCUCCCACACCCACAUGCCGCCGCAGUUGGCAUGGCCCCAGCAUCAACAGAGGGUGCGUUUGCCUUGUUAAUCACCGAUACGAAAACACACGGCCUCUGUCUCUGUUGUUCUGUGCCUCGUUCACACCCUGUAUAAUUUUAUACUGUUCCUACAGCCCUGACAUGCCCGAAGCUACAACUGACAUUGAUUCGCUGACUUAUAAAGUGUGUUAUCUGCUCUCCGUGUCUGCACGGAGUUCCCAGAGAGCUGCCCGGGCGGUGACUCAGGAUGGGAGAGCGGUGCAGGGGAAGGUCAGACGCGGGUGAGGGCCAGUGACUUAGGGGCUCCUGCCGGACCACGUGUGGGUCCAGCCCUCUUGUGGAUUUCUGUGGGAGCCACUCAUGGCAAUUUCUAGCUAAAUCCCUGCCUUUGUUUCCUAAGUCAGAUAAAUUCCAUUAGAAUUAGGUGAUUCUAUGUCUCCUUUAUAAGACAAGCCCUUCACACGGGAGUCAUGACAGCACGCUUGACAAAAACACACGUGGUCUGGAGACAGUCCCUGCAGAGCUGGAACUCCUGCAAACGGGAACAUUUGUUGGUGAAAAGGCAGCUACGUCACCAGGAGCACACAAGGUCCUUGAGAAAAAGUCCAGCGUGAAGGGUCUCUGAGCAUGCGUGUAUCAGUGUAGGAGUCAAAUGUCGGCUGAAGAAAAUAAAACCAUGUGACGUAUGUGCAAAAAAGUUUUUAAAGUUCCUAAGUUUAAAAAUGCAGCACAAUUUGCUAAAUUUCUAAUUGAAACUAAUGUUUGUAACUUCUCUUUGAGUUAAGGUUUUGGUGAUAACUCACUUCCUCAAUUGCAAGUCGUGUUUCACCCGCCCAGUUAACACGUCUGAGAGGUGGCAUUUCCCAGCCACCGUGCAGGUGUCCUGGGCCCGGAAAAUGGGAGCAAAUGUGCCCUGGGUCCUUUCCAGGCUGAGGCAGCUCAGGCUCCUGGGCCAGCCCUUCAUGUCCUCUCCCAUGACCUCGGGGGUCGUGCCCUCCAGGUAGCAUCACCGUCAGAGGAAGGAACUGUGAUGUGGAAAAGGAAUAAACUGCUAUCAUGUUGGUAAGACUUGGGGGCUUAUUUGCUACUGCAGCAUAGCUGAGUCAGUCCUAUCUAAUACACACAUUUAAGGUAAAGAGAAUUUUUCUACAUGCUUUUGAGGACCACAGAUUGGAGAGGAAAGUAUUCUGUUAACAUCAGAAUAGUGUUCAAAUUAAAACUUCUGCCCUUCCUUUUGCUUCCAUUUUCUAUUUUAUGUGAAAAUAUGCACUGGAGGGGACCGAGGAGGCAGCCAGUGUGGUGGGGUCAGGACACUUGUUCCUCAGCCCACGGGGUCAUUGGUUUUACAUCCAGAUCUGGAGAGUGAGAGGGGUAGGGUGGGGAUCUGGGUGGGGCGUUUGUCUGUAAGCCAUCCCCACCCCCUACUGACAACUCUUCUCUAGAACAAUCACUGCUUUCAAGAGUUUCCCAUCUACCACUGAAACUAAAAUAAACAGAAUUUAUAUCUCAGGAAUUCUAUGACAAUGAUUAUAAAAUGUUUCAUAUUAUAAUAUUAGCUUUUAUAAUGAUUGUAAAGUGUUUCAGAUUUAAUAUUAGCUUUCUCAGUGGAAAAAUAUGUAUUUUAAAGGUAAAAGCAUCUAAUUACAGAUAAAGAUAUAGGUAUAGAAAUAUAAAAGAACUGAUAAAAGAACUGAUGAAGUGGGGCUGGUGGAGUCACAGGGGAAGAGUUAGCAGGGGUCCUUCUCAGCCACCCCCAGACCCACCGCCUUCCUGGGGCCGACAUGGAACCUCUUUCUCUUUAGCCCUUUCUGAGUCUGGGUCUCUGGAGAAAAAGAAAAGAAAAAAGCGUGUCUCCACUGAGUAGUGAAAUGGGAAAACUGAACAGGAAACGAAGAGAGAGAAACCAGUGUCAACUCCUCCCACCAAAGCAUCGGGAGGAAAACACCUUUCCUUCUAUUACGACGGGUCGGGCCUGGCCUGGCCUUUCCUUCUUUGAACACGUAUAGCAACAAAGGCAAUUCUCUGCUGCAUCGGGGAGAUUUUGUUUUGUUUUCUGUGUAUGGUUCAUAAAAGCAAGGUUUUGGUUUUUUUUUUAAUUAUGGUCAGAUACACAUUUUAACCAUUUUUAAGUGACAGUUCAGUGGUGUUAAGUGCAUUCGUAACGUGGUGCAGCCAUCCCACCAUCCGUCUCCAAAGCGUUUUCAUCUUGCAAAGCUGAAACUCUAACCCCAUUAAACACAAAGUCCCCACCCUCACCAGCCCCUGGAAACCACAGUCCUACUUUCUGCCUCUGUGACUCUGACUCCUUCAUGGACCUCAUAUUAGUGGAGUCCUGCUUUUCUGGACGAUUUGUCCUCUCUGACUGGAUUCGUUCAUGAGCAUCAUGUCCUCAGGGUUCACCCUUGUUGUAGCCUCUGCCAGGAUUUCCUUCCUUUUUCAGGCUGAGUGAUAUUCUAUUGUGUGGGUGGACCACCUUUUGUUCAUCCGUCAUCUGUUGUUGGACACUGGGGUAGUCUCCACUUUUAGCUGCUGUGAACCCACGUCCACAAAUAUCUCCUCAAGACCCUGCUUUCAGUUCUUCGGGGUCUUUGCCCAGGAGUGGGGUCACCGUAUCAUGCAGUGCGUCUACGUUUUUGAGAAACCGCCAGACAGUUUCCACAGCAGCUGCACCGUCUCACUUCCCACCGUCCGUGCACCAGGUUCCAAAGGGUUUUAGCUUUAUCUGCUUCUUGUCCCCUGGGUCAGCAGCUCAGGGGGGCAAACACUCUGCCCUCACGUUAUUCAAACCAAGAGGCUGUGUGUACUGCCGUCAGGCUGCGCUCUGUCCACGCCCAGCACCCUGGGCGGCCCCACGGUUAGGCGUCCUGCUCGGACGUGCUCACCACACAGCAUCUUCCUCUGCAGACAGGAGCCUCAGAGUGUGAGCUGGACGGAGACCAUGAGGAAGGAGGACAGUACAGAGGCCCCGGCCUCAGACCUCGGCGCUGCCUGUGAGGGACCUGCAGGCGAGGGGAGCUCACGGUGACUCACAAGCUGCUGGGGCACCAACGACCGUGGGCCCCUUCGGGACCGCACGUGCCUCAGACAAGCAGGAAAGGAAAGAAAGCACACCCAGAAAAUCUCCAUCUUGUUUAUUAAAAAACAAAAGCACAACCUUCCAGGAGACUUAAUACUCUAGCAAUGGGAAUUAGCGUUUUCUGAUGGCAAAUGAGAGUCCCACCCUGAACCCAGCACUUGGGGACGUCCGAGGCGCGCCGGACACCCCCUCGUGGCACCUCGGGAGGAGUUGGCAGCCGCGUACCCUGCAGGCUCGAGCCCACGGCCUCAGGCACAGAGCCCCCUCCCACUCUGCCUUCCCACCUGCUGGCCUGUCCCUGAAGCCCACCUCCUCCCGGGGGAUGUGGGGAUGGAGGCUGGGCCGGGAUGGGCACAGCCUAUGUUUUAAUUCUUCAAGUCGCUGCUCCACUCGUGGGCUUACGUGCCAACGUUGCCCAAAGCAGUCGAGUCCCUGCUGGCCGGAUAUUUUGAGUAUCUCCUCACAUGGCAGGAGUGUCGGUGGCCGUCAGGUCCAACAAGGCCAGUGCCGGCCUACGAAAGCGGCCGUUAGCCGGAAGGCCCAGGAGCAGGCUUUCAGCAGAGGUUGGUCACACAGUGUGAUUGUCUGGGGCUUUCAAGUAUUCAGAUUUCCAGGCCACACUCAAGACCAAUUUAAAAAAAAAAACAAAGAUCUCUGAGCUCAGAACCCAGGCAUCCAUAUUUUUGAAAA